CAGUCGCCGCGGGAAUACGGAGGGUGCAAGCGUUAAUCGGAAUUACUGGGCGUAAAGCGCACGCAGGCGGUCUGACAAGUCAGAUGUGAAAUCCCCGGGCUUAACCUGGGAACUGCAUUUGAAACUGUCAGGCUGGAGUCUUGUAGAGGGGGGUGGAAUUCCAGGUGUAGCGGUGAAAUGCGUAGAGAUCUGGAGGAAUACCGGUGGCGAAGGCGGCCCCCUGGACAAAGACUGACGCUCAGGUGCGAAAGCGUGGGGAGCAAACAGGAUUAGAUACCCGAGUAGUCCCUGUCUCUUAUAA
rnacentral:rRNA from 1 species